GCUGUGGGCCUUCUUCAUCAAGGGGUGUAACUGCUGAUGUGCACUGAAGGAGCUCUUCUUCUCUGUGUGUGAAAUCAUCUCUCUCCAAAAUAAACACCAUAUGGUCAGGGAGAAAGGGACCAGGAAAAGAGGAAGGCGCAGCAGCUGAAGCUGAUAGGAGACAAAAUGGACUGAAUGAGGGGCCAGGGGCUCAUACUGUUCCAGCAAGGAAAUCCUGAAGGCUUUCAGAGCAGUAGCAGCAGAACUGGUGAUACAUUCUGA
rnacentral:lncRNA from 1 species